UGGGGAAUUUUGGACAAUGGGCGAAAGCCUGAUCCAGCAAUGCCGCGUGUGUGAAGAAGGCCUUCGGGUUGUAAAGCACUUUUGUCCGGAAAGAAAUCCUUGGCUCUAAUACAGUCGGGGGAUGACGGUACCGGAAGAAUAAGCACCGGCUAACUACGUGCCAGCAGCCGCGGUAAUACGUAGGGUGCAAGCGUUAAUCGGAAUUACUGGGCGUAAAGCGUGCGCAGGCGGUUUGCUAAGACCGAUGUGAAAUCCCCGGGCUCAACCUGGGAACUGCAUUGGUGACUGGCAGGCUAGAGUAUGGCAGAGGGGGGUAGAAUUCCACGUGUAGCAGUGAAAUGCGUAGAGAUGUGGAGGAAUACCGAUGGCGAAGGCAGCCCCCUGGGCCAAAUACUGACGCUCAUGCACGAAAGCGUGGGGAGCAAACAGGAUUAGAUACCCUGGUAGUCCACGCCCUAAACGAUGUCAACUAGUUGUUGGGGAUUCAUUUCCUUAGUAACGUAGCUAACGCGUGAAGUUGACCGCCUGGGGGAGUACGGUCGCAAGAUUAAAACUUAAAUGAAUUGAC
rnacentral:rRNA from 1 species